CUACGGAGGGUGCAAGCGUUACUCGGAAUCACUGGGCGUAAAGCGCGCGCAGGCGGCUAUUUAAGUUGGAUGUGAAAGCCUACGGCUCAACCAUAGAACUGCAUCCAAAACUAUUAGACUAGAGUGUGGGAGAGGAAGAUGGAAUUAGUUGUGUAGGGGUAAAAUCCGUAGAGAUAACUAGGAAUACCAAAAGCGAAGGCAAUCUUCUGGAACACUACUGACGCUGAGGCGCGAAAGCGUGGGGAGCAAACGGGAUUAGAAACCCUAGUAGUCC
rnacentral:rRNA from 1 species